rnacentral:rRNA from 1 species
AUUGAACGCUGGCGGCAUGCCUUACACAUGCAAGUCGAACGGUAACGGGUCCUUCGGGAUGCCGACGAGUGGCGAACGGGUGAGUAAUAUAUCGGAACGUGCCCAGUAGUGGGGGACAACUGCUCGAAAGAGCAGCUAAUACCGCAUACGACCUGAGGGUGAAAGGGGGGGAUCGCAAGACCUCUCGCUAUUGGAGCGGCCGAUAUCAGAUUAGCUAGUUGGUGGGGUAAAGGCCUACCAAGGCAACGAUCUGUAGUUGGUCUGAGAGGACGACCAGCCACACUGGGACUGAGACACGGCCCAGACUCCUACGGGAGGCAGCAGUGGGGAAUUUUGGACAAUGGGCGCAAGCCUGAUCCAGCAAUGCCGCGUGCAGGAAGAAGGCCUUCGGGUUGUAAACUGCUUUUGUCAGGGAAGAAAUCUUCUGGGCUAAUACCCCGGGAGGAUGACGGUACCUGAAGAAUAAGCACCGGCUAACUACGUGCCAGCAGCCGCGGUAAUACGUAGGGUGCGAGCGUUAAUCGGAAUUACUGGGCGUAAAGCGUGCGCAGGCGGCUUUGCAAGACAGAUGUGAAAUCCCCGGGCUCAACCUGGGAACUGCAUUUGUGGCUGCAAGGCUAGAGUACGGCAGAGGGGGAUGGAAUUCCGCGUGUAGCAGUGAAAUGCGUAGAUAUGCGGAGGAACACCAAUGGCGAAGGCAAUCCCCUGGGCCUGUACUGACGCUCAUGCACGAAAGCGUAGGGAGCAAACAGGAUUAGAUACCCUGGUAGUCCACGCCCUAAACGAUGUCAACUGGUUGUUGGACGGCUUGCUGUUCAGUAACGAAGCUAACGCGUGAAGUUGACCGCCUGGGGAGUACGGCCGCAAGGUUGAAACUCAAAGGAAUUGACGGGGACCCGUACAAGCGGUGGAUGAUGUGGUUUAAUUCGAUGCAACGCGAAAAACCUUACCUACCCUUGACAUGUCAAGAAUUCUGCAGAGAUGUGGAAGUGCUCGAAAGAGAACUUGAACACAGGUGCUGCAUGGCCGUCGUCAGCUCGUGUCGUGAGAUGUUGGGUUAAGUCCCGCAACGAGCGCAACCCUUGUCAUUAGUUGCUACGCGAGAGCACUCUAAUGAGACUGCCGGUGACAAACCGGAGGAAGGUGGGGAUGACGUCAGGUCCUCAUAGCCCUUAUGGGUAGGGCUACACACGUCAUACAAUGGCCGGUACAGAGGGCUGCCAACCCGCGAGGGGGAGCCAAUCCCAGAAAACCGGUCGUAGUCCGGAUCGUAGUCUGCAACUCGACUGCGUGAAGUCGGAAUCGCUAGUAAUCGCGGAUCAGCUUGCCGCGGUGAAUACGUUCCCGGGUCU